UUUCCCUUGAGGUUCGGAAAGGUCGAUGGCGAACUAUUGUUCAUUUCAGGUGGCCCACCCUAUCUCCGUACGAUUAGGUGGCCCUGGGACGGGACUUUUGACCUCUCUAUUAUAUUACAGGUUAACGAAGGUAAUGGAUCCCGGACCACAAAGGUUCAUCCAGAUCAAGUAGCCUAUAUCCUCACUUGGGAGGAUCUUCAUUCGGAUCCUCCGGCAUGGGUGAAACCCUUCCUCCCUUCCUGCCCCCUAUCUCAAUCUACCCUUCUUCCCCUGAAAACCUCAAAAGACCGUGCCUCAACCCAAGCUUCAGGACCCGCCCAACCAGUUCUCCUGAUGGAGUCCCAAAAGGACCCUUCUUUCCUAGACGCUUUGUCCUCGCCGCCCACAACCCCCUCUUACAGCCUCCACCCUAUAAUCCGCCCCUGGCCCCCGCCUUGACCCCGGUGGCCCCUAUUCCCCUCCUGCCUCCAGUUCCCUCCUCCCCCUCCCCAAUUUCUUCCCCCGCACUCCGUCUCCGGCGAUCAGACGACCGAACGGCCCUCCCACUUUGGCAAAUCUUCCCAUGUUUCCUCUCCGGCUGUCAACCGACUAUCCAGUAUUGGCCAUUUUCUGCAUCUGAUCUUACAAUUGGAAAACUCAUAACCCUUCCUUUUCCCAAGAACCCCGGCCCUAAAUCCUCACUGAUAGAAUUUAUCCCCUCACACCUCCCGCCCACCUGGACGACUGCCCGAGCUACUACAGGUCCUUUUGACUACAGAGGAAAGGCAACAAGUUCUCCUGGGGCUUUCCAAAACCCAGCUCCCAACGAAAAUAGGAUGAGGGGUUUCCACCGCACCCGCCGGACUGGGACUAUGAAACGGCUCCAGGUAGGGAGAGUCUCCGAAUCUAUCGCCAGGCUCUGUUGGCGGGUUCUCAAGGGGCAGGGAAAGGCCCACCAAUUGGCCAAGGUAAGGACCAUAAUUCAAGGAAAAGAGGAAAGCCCCGCAGCCUUUAUGAACGGGCUUCUAGAGGUGUUUCGGAUGUAUACUCCAUUUAACCCCGAGGGCUCAGAACAUAAGGCUACCGUGGCCAUGUCGUUCAUAGAUUCCAGGCA
rnacentral:lncRNA from 1 species